rnacentral:rRNA from 1 species
GUAGGUGGCAAGCGUUGUCCGGAAUUAUUGGGCGUAAAGCGCGCGCAGGUGGUUCUUUAAGUCUGAUGUGAAAGCCCCCGGGCUCAACCGGGGAGGGUCAUUGGAAACUGGGGAACUUGAGUGCAGGAGAGGAAAGUGGAAUUCCACGUGUAGCGGUGAAAUGCGUAGAUAUGUGGAGGAACACCAGUGGCGAAGGCGACUCUCUGGCCUGUAACUGACACUGAGGCGCGAAAGCGUGGGGAGCAAACAGGAUUAGAUACCCUGGUAGUCCGCGCCGUAAACGAUGAGUGCUAAGUGUUGGGGGGUUUCCGCCCCUCAGUGCUGCAGCUAACGCAUUAAGCACUCCGCCUGGGGAGUACGGUCGCAAGACUG